AUGAAGUGCUUCUCAUCUUCACAGUUCCUGGAGAAGCUCGAGCUCGUGGAUUGCAGAUCUAUAACUGAUGCUAGUAUGAAUUUCAUUAUUCAGGCUCCUUGCUUGAGCAAUCUCACACUCCGCAAAUGCAAGAAAGUGACAGAUAAUGGAAUGGCUGCGUUGGCACGUUCACAGAAGUUGGACUCAUUGACCGUUAUAGGCUGCCACUGGGUCUCUCACGAAGGUGUGCAGGGUGCUGCCAAAUCAGUUCGCUACUCGGCAGAGAUUGAAAGCCAUGACAGCCUAAAAGGUAUGUGCAUGAAAAGGAAUGGACGCAAGACAUAG
rnacentral:rRNA from 1 species